ACGCUAGCUACAGGCUUAACACAUGCAAGUCGAGGGGAAACGGCAUUUAGUGCUUGCACUGAAUGGACGUCGACCGGCGCACGGGUGAGUAACGCGUAUCCAACCUUCCCAUUACUUUGGGAUAACCUGCCGAAAGGCAGACUAAUACCUCAUAGUCUUCGAUGACGGCAUCAGAUUUGAAGUAAAGAUUUAUCGGUAAUGGAUGGGGAUGCGUCUGAUUAGCUUGUUGGCGGGGUAACGGCCCACCAAGGCAACGAUCAGUAGGGGUUCUGAGAGGAAGGUCCCCCACAUUGGAACUGAGACACGGUCCAAACUCCUACGGGAGGCAGCAGUGAGGAAUAUUGGUCAAUGGACGUAAGUCUGAACCAGCCAAGUAGCGUGCAGGAUGACGGCCCUAUGGGUUGUAAACUGCUUUUGUAUGGGGAUAAAGUCAAUCACGUGUGAUUGUUUGCAGGUACCAUACGAAUAAGGACCGGCUAAUUCCGUGCCAGCUUCCGCGGUAAUACGGAAGGUUCGGGCGUUAUCCGGAUUUAUUGGGUUUAAAGGGAGCGUAGGCCGGAGAUUAAGUGUGUUGUGAAAUGUAGACGCUCAACGUCUGAAUUGCAGCGCAUACUGGUUUCCUUGAGAACGCACAACGUUGGCGGAAUUCGUCGUGUAGCGGUGAAAUGCUUAGAUGUGACGAAGAACUCCGAUUGCGAAGGCAGCUGACGGGAGCGCAACUGACGCUGAAGCUCGAAGGUGCGGGUAUCGAACAGGAUUAGAUACCCUGGUAGUCCGCACAGUAAACGAUGGAUGCCCGCUGUUGGUACCUAGUAUCAGCGGCUAAGCGAAAGCAUUAAGCAUCCCACCUGGGGAGUACGCCGGCAACGGUGAAACUCAAAGGAAUUGACGGGGGCCCGCACAAGCGG
rnacentral:rRNA from 1 species